rnacentral:rRNA from 1 species
GACAGAGGUGCCGAGCGUUAGGCGGAAUCACUGGGCUUAAAGCGUGUGUAGGCGGGCCGUUAAGUACCUUGUGAAAUCCCACGGCUUAACCGUGGAACUGCUCGGUAUACUGGCGAUCUUGAGCCACUUAGGGGUCAGCGGAACAAAUGGUGGAGCGGUGAAAUGCGUAGAUAUCAUUUGGAACGCCAAUGGUGAAAACAGCUGACUGGGAGUGUGCUGACGCUGAGACACGAAAGCCAGGGGAGCGAACGGG